rnacentral:tRNA from 1 species
GUCCUGGUAGCUCAGUUGGUUAGAGCGCACGGCUGUUAACCGCGAGGUCGGAGGUUCGAAUCCUCCCCGGGACG